GGAUGCGAUCAUAGCAGCACUAAAGCACCGGAUUCCAUCAGAACUCCGAAGUUAAGCGUGCUUGGGCAAGAGUAGUACUAGGAUGGGUGACCUCCUGGGAAGUCCUCGUGUUGCAUUCC
rnacentral:rRNA from 1 species